rnacentral:rRNA from 1 species
GUCUUUUUGACCAUAAUUUAAAGUCUAAUCUGCCCACUGAUAAAUAUUAAAGGGCUGCAGUAUAAUGACUGUACAAAGGUAGCAUAAUCAAUAGUUUUUUAAUUGAAAACUUGUAUGAAAGAUUUGAUGAAAUAUGAACUGUCUCUUAGUUAUUAUUAAAAUUUUAUUUUUUAGUUAAAAAGCUAAAAUAAUUUUAAAAGACGAGAAGACCCUAUAGAGUUUUAUAUUUAAUUUUAUUUUUAUAAUAUAUAAAAAUUAAUAUAAAAAUAAGGUUAAUUAUUAUAUUGGGGUGAUAGAAAAAUUUAAUUAACUUUUUUUAAAAUUUAAACAUAAAUAAAUGAAAAAAUGAUCCAUUGAUUAUAAUGAUUAUAAGAAAAAUUUACCUUAGG